UGAAAGAUAUAAUUUUCAGUAACUCCUGCUCAAUGAAAUUUCAAUAGCCGCAGACAUCUGUGCUAAGGUAGCAUAAUCACUUGCCUAAUAAUUAUAGGAUAGAAUGAAAGGAAGCACAUGUAGACUUCUUUAUUAAUAAAAUUUAUCCAACUUCCCUAAUAAGUAAAAAGAACUUAUUUUUUUAGGAGGACGAUAAGACCCUAUCAAACUUCACAGUUAUGUUUAGCUGGGGCGGCUAAAAAUUAAAACUUUCUUCUAUUCUUAGAUAAUCAACCUAAUUUCAGAUAUCAUUAAUGUUACUGUAGGGAUAACAGCAUUAUUCUUUCCUAAAGAACUUAUAAAAGAAAGAGUUUUUGACCUCGAUGUUGAAUUAAAAUCCUCCUAGAGGCAGUUCUCUAGAAAGCAAGUCUGUUCGACUUUUAAACUUUU
rnacentral:rRNA from 1 species